GUUGACUUUCUCCAGCCCCACUGGGCAGGCCAGGUGCAGAGCCAGCAAACGGACAGCGGGAUGGCCUCCAGCAUGGACACUGCAGGAAGUGAGGUUCCAAGAGUUAGCUGACUUGGCCCAAGUCACACAGCUACAAAUGGCAGAGCCAAGCCCUGGUUCAUCUCCAAGUGGGGGCAGGGAGCCGCACCUUCCCGGUCGCCAGCUGAUCUGCUGAGGCUCAGAGGCAUGCAGUCACGCAGCCAAGCUCCACCAGGAGUAUGCGGGAGAGCCAGUGGCGUCACCGUGAAGUUAUGCCAACACCACUGCCAGUCAUCAGAACACGGGAUUGGCAGGACUGGAGAGAUGGCUCAGCUGUUAAGAGCACUGACUGCUUUACCAGAGGUCCUGAGUUCAAUUCCCAGCACCCACAUGGCAGCUCACAGCUGUCUGUAACUCCAGUUCCAGGUGACCGGACACCCUCAUCCAGAAAUCUAUGCAGGCCAAAACAGCUUUAUUCAUCAACCAAAAAGAGCAACACGUUUUCACAGCACACAGAAGGACAUCCCACAGCAGGCAGAGGGAAAAGUACAGCUGCACUCAGAAGGCUGGGGCACGGGAAGCCCUUUGCUGAAGACCGGUAUGACUCUGACCUCCCAGCCCCUCGGACCAUCUUCUCCCUGACUGUGUCAAGAAGCAUCCUAUGUUGCUGUGUUCUCUUCCUAAAAGAUGUCAGCACCAUGGUACAACAUGCCAGGCCAUGGUACAACACGCCAGGUCAUAGUACAACAACACGCCUUUAAUACCAGCACUCCAGAGGCAGGCAGGUGCAUCUCUGUGAGCUGGAGGCCAGUCUAGUCUACAUAGUAAGUCCCAGGACAUCAAGUGUUAACAUAGAGUCCUGUCUCAAAAACACAACAACAAAAACCAAACAUAAAAGGUCUGCUCCUAACUGGGUGGCAGUAGUGCCUGUCUUUAACCCCAUCACUUGGGAGCCAGAGGCAGGUGGAUGUCUGAAUUUGAGGCCAGCCUGGUUGACAAAGUGAGUUCCAGGACAGCCGGGGCUACACAGAGAAACCCUGUCUCAAAAAACAAAAACAAAAAUCUGCUCCUUACUAAAUGUGGUGCUCAUACCUAUAAUCUCAGUACUGGGAGAGGGGUCAUGGUGAGCUGGGGUCAGCCUGGGCUACAGAGUAAGACAUUGUCUCAAAACAAAUAAAUAGGGCUGGCCAGAUGACCCAGUAGGCAAAAACAAUUACGGCCAAAGCUGACGACCUGAAUUUUGUCCACAACACAUGGGUGAUAAGAGAGGACUGACUGAUUGACACGGUUGGCUACACACGCCCAUGUUGGAUGCACAUGCCCUCCCACACCAGCCACAAUAAAGUAAAUAAAUAGAAAAAUAA